rnacentral:rRNA from 1 species
GACGAACGCUGGCGGCGUGCUUAACACAUGCAAGUCGAACGCUGAAGCUCAGCUUUUGUUGGGUGGAUGAGUGGCGAACGGGUGAGUAACACGUGAGUAACCUGCCUCCUUCUUUGGGAUAACGCCCGGAAACGGGUGCUAAUACUGGAUAUUCACUGGUCUUCGCAUGGGGGUUGGUGGAAAGGGUUUUUCUGGUGGGGGAUGGGCUCGCGGCCUAUCAGCUUGUUGGUGGGGUGAUGGCCUACCAAGGCUUUGACGGGUAGCCGGCCUGAGAGGGUGACCGGUCACAUUGGGACUGAGAUACGGCCCAGACUCCUACGGGAGGCAGCAGUGGGGAAUAAUGCACAAUGGGCGCAAGCCUGAUGCAGCGGCGCCGCGUGAGGGAUGGAGGCCUUCGGGUUGUGAACCUCUUUCGCUCAUGGUCAAGCCGCAACAAUGGUUGUGGUGAGGGUAGUGGGUAAAGAAGCGCCGGCUAACUACGUG